GGAGAAGAGGAAAGAAGAAUCAUAUAGUGAGAACAAGGGUGUAGAGUGGGACUCAGCCGCGGCAGAUUUCCAACACCACAGUUUGGUCACACUCGUCAUGUUUGGCUUUGAAUCUGAAGAUUGCUUUGUGAGUUAUGUCAGACGUGUUCUCGCGGUGGCGGUCAAUCUAGAGGAUGUGUUCCUGUAUUGUGGGUUGGAGUGUGACGAUUGCCCGCACAAGAAGCCUGGCAGGUACCCCUGGACUAAAAGGCAGAGGAUCUCACUGAAGAAGAGAAUGACCGCUGGGAUUGAGUCGUUUGCCAUAUUUCACUAUGCUACUAACAUGAGGACUGAUCAUGUAAAAAGAAGGGAGUACCCAAAGUGCUCACUGCUGGAGGCAAAAAAUGAUUUUCUCUGAGGUAGAAAGGUGUUGAUUUGACAGUGAAGUGUGUUACAAGUGUUGUCACUUUUGGUUGAUAGUUCGUUUUAGUUUUUAUUGUGACCGCAUGAACCGUAUUAUUAAGUUGUUAACUCAAGAACUGUUAUUAUUUGCUUGCACUAUGCAUCCAAGAACAUCAGCACACAGCCAUUAAUUAGUGAUGUGUAUUUCUGGAGCCUUGAGAAUAGUUUUUGUUUAAUCAAGCUUGAAAAGGAUUAUAUGAAAUCUUGUUUUCAAAUAUCUCAACGGCAGAGUUCAACUUGUGAGCACUGAAAUUUGGUGACCCAGAAGCCUUUACCUAAUCAUUAGGUGCUGUCUGGAGCUUCAAAGUUCAGGUUGAGAUUGCUUAGUGUUUUAAUGGAGCAGGAUACAAUUCUGCUAUCUACCCUAUGAAAACCAUACCAUCUCAUGGUCCACUGAAUGAACAAGUGUUGGGAAAGGCAUAGAACUGCUAGCAUCUUAGAAGGUUUGAAUUGGCAACCUGAUGUUUUAGUGUAAGAAUAGUACGCAUACAUUUGUUUGAUAGUUUGCACAGAAUCUUGAAAAUCAAGCAGAACUGAAAACCCUGGAGAUGUCACAAACUAUCGUAUCGAGUUAUCGACCUAUGAUUGUGCACAUCAUGCUUAUUUUCUACCUUCAGUUUUAAUGUACGCAACCAUUUCUAUACUGAUUUCCAAAUGGGCUGAUUACUUUCAUGUUCACCCUAGCAGCUUUGACAAAACACUCUACCAUCUAAGCAAGGACAGCAAAGGCCAGUCAUCUUCCAAUUUAUCAAAGGAGUAAAUGAAUAAUUUGCAUAGCCAAAACAUGUAAAAUAAUAUAGCUUGAAAAGAUUACCACAGUGCAGGUUGGCAUGAAACAUUAAAGCAAGCCCGUUAUGCACUCCUGCUCUCUUGCAUAUGCUGAAGUACAGUACAGUUUGAUUUUUUUUUGCGAAACUAAUAAUAAUUCGAGAAUACGGAGUUAGCAAUUUUGAAAAAAAUAAGAGACUUUGACAUGGGCCCUAAGAGACAAGAGAGCUGCAGGAUAUAUCCAAUAGUUAUUAAGAGAUAAAUACCAGUAUACCGACCAGAACCACCGGAUGAACAAGGGAUCCUAAUAGUAGUCAUAAAAGGUGGAUCAUUGAUUAAGCCAAUUACACUUCUAGUUCACUGGUUGGUGCAGUUAACAAGCUGAACUGCUGGUUUCUAAGUAUUUUGCGACAUAUUUUUUUAUGAAAUGUUGCAUAUAUAACUGAAAUUGAACUCGUGGAUUUCUGUGCAUGUAAUUUCUCAUAAUUGAUCUGCUUAUUAGAAAUUUAGAAUAUUGGCAAAGGUGAAGAUGAGCCAGGGCGGGCACCUCUAUGUGACACAUGCUUGGUUCCGAAUCGAAAGACUGGGAUAUAUGGUUGGCUGAGGGGCUAUGGUUUUAAUGGAGUGUGAUUGAUGCUUCUUGGUAGUAGGAGAAGAAUGGUGUCUCUGAUGUGGUUUUCUGCUAGUACUCCGUGCUAGUAGAUUUCAAGAGCGCAAGAUUUCUUAACGCGAAGCCUGUAGCUUUCAUCUAAGAAAAACUUGUAGCUUUAGUUUCUCUUCAUCCUUCGUAUUACGACAAGCUCUUGUAAACCUGUUGUCACAGCUUAUGGAGUAUAUUAUUUUUUGCCAGAAUUCUUUGUAGUUCAUUAAGCCAAACCUGGUAUCUGCUGUAAUGAUGUGUUGUAAAAGAGCCCAGUUUCGUUUCCCCGGAGAGAUGUUUUUUUGGCAUAAAGCAAUCUUCCAUAGAGCCACUGGCUAUGGGCAAACUCCAAUGAAUUAAAAGAGGCUAGCUGCGCUUUGCUAUAAUUGUAACUGGAUUCGCUAUAUGAAUUUGAUUUCAAAAUGCAUAACAAACUCAGAACUAACGAACAUGCCCAAUAGCUCAUGCUGAUUGCUCAUUCUUCGCGGCGUGUGUGGGGGGACAGAAGCAACGACGGAGCUGCGCAAUGAUGGAGCUUCGGCGAGAGGACCAGGUUUUGCAACUUGCAAGCAGUGCAGUGUCACCGUGUCCUCGAUCUUAUUAUUUGGCUACCAGACAAAAUUUGCUGGACAAGUCAUAGGAGGAUCUAUAGUAGGGACAAUGUGACUGAUGGCUAAUCGUGUUGCAUAAAAAUCACUAGGAACCAACUAUAUUUUGCAACAGGUAGUCGCUUGCCCACCAGAUCUCUCCACUCUCGUAGCAUCAUUAGGUCUUAGUGGACCAGUUUAGCAAGUGUCCACAAUUAGCAUUAUCCGCUUACGACAUACCCCGAAGAUGCACGCACCUGGCACAAAAUGAAGAUGCUAAUCUUUUGCCCAUGUAUCCCAUUCAUUACAUUCUAGCCAAGUGACCGAGAUCACACAUUAGAGCGUGGCGUAUAGGCUAAUCGGAGCAGAAUUGCUUGGUGGUGAGAGAAGGGACGAGGCAAAGUGAAAAUAAUUGCGUCGGCAGAGUAGGAGGGAGAGGUACAUCGAUGAUAUUUUUCUUCAUGUGCAUGCUGUAGCUCUGGCGAUUCAUUGGAAAUUCCUGGCGCCUUCUAUGCCUAUGGAUAUCAAACUCAUAUCGAGACAAAGCAAAUAGCACACCAAUUAGGGUUGAAAUAUUGUAAGACACAUAAGUAAAAUGAGGAAUGUGCUUUUUAUCAUUUGCUUGCAAAAGCCUUGCCCUUUGUAGAAGACAUGGGCGGUGGAACAGUGACAUAAAGCCAUUGGUCCUUUGGUAGGUCAAUAUCUAAGAAUCUCGUGACUUUGUCCUUUGGUAGGUCAGAAGUAUGAGACUUUGCUUUAUUAAUCGUUCGUUCAUACAAGCGAUGAAUUUUCUUAGCCUUUCCUUUUGAAAAGAAAGAUUUUUCUUGAUUAGUAUGAUUUUUCUUCGAGUACUAUAAAGUUCAUGAAAAUAAAGCCCAUCGGCUAAUGUUUCAUCCUCACGAGAAAAACUGAGGUAAGUAGAACAACAUCAUGUAGGUCUGGUCAUAUGUGAUUGUGGACUAUACAUUUUGUAGAACUAUAUUAUUUAUGUAUAUAAUCACAGAUUCACAGUUGCAGAAAUCGCAAGAGUUUAGGUUACUCAUACUUUUUAACUACAAGAAAAAUGAUUACCCCAUAUAUACUUGGACAUUAAUAGUAACACACUCAGGGGUGAAAUUCCUUAACCAACUACUAGUAUCGAUGAAGACCGGACGUAUUACAAUACAUGGUUAUCACUUAGUUACUCCCUACCACGUUUUGAACUCGGUGGGUGGAGUCACAUGAUAUAUAUCCACGUAAACUCCUACCAAUAUGUGUCUCCAUUCACCUUUUUUUUUAUUCCGAAGUAUGCUUCUGGCAUUGACAUGGAAAUAAAUAUAUUUGUAAAUCACAUAAGGUUUUGGCAGAAAGCACCCAUGUUUGUGUAACGCGAGCAUAAGAAAAGCUGGCUCUAAGUUGUACUAAAUGUUAUUACUAGUAUCUUAUUGUAUGAACACCCUUGAUUAUCCCCACAACCUCUAGGCUCCGACGAGUUCUCUGGUGAGAAAAUGCCUGUUUUCGUCGCCGAUUCAGUCCACUUGAUGAGGUACUAGUAUGAUCCAGUAAGGUUCAUAUGACCCCAUGAGCAAUGACCAUGAAUUUCUUAUUCAAUUACCGCUAGAAGAGCCUCGAAAAAAGCCCACUAGAAGAGGAAACGACAAGGAUACUCUUCGCAAGAAAGAUUAGCCUUUUGUGUUUCUCUUUCAACCUUGAGUUGUUUCAAGAACUAGAGUGUUCCAGAUUCAGAAGUGAAGUACGUAAACUUGGCUUGCCUGGCUAUAUUUUUUUAUUGAAAUACUAGGACAGCUGGAUGAAUCCUAAUAGUGGUCAUAAAAGCUGGAUUAUCGAACGGGCCAACUAAGUUACUGGUUCAUUGUUCGGUGUGGUUAACUAGCUCAAGUUCCAGUCUACAUGAAAAACCUCUCAAGUGUUAACCAUAAUCACCAUGCUUUUGUGUGUACCUGUACCAUGGGGCUAUUUUUGUAUCGAUUGAUAUGAGGAAAAAAUUCUUUCUAAAUUUCCUAUAGGCUAGCUAUACAAAAAAAAAAAA
rnacentral:lncRNA from 1 species